AUCUCCACGGGCUUCAUCUGUAAGUGGAGAAUCAUCAACACUUCACUGCUUGAAGCAGAUAAGUGCUCGGAGGAGCUGAGCGGUGGAGGGUGAGGGCUGAGGAAGCAGAAACAGGGCACCUGACAGGGGUGGACCCAUCACAGUGGCUUCCUUGGAGGGCAGGGGAACAGAAAGUAACUGAGGGGCUGACUGGGUUUUCUUUCUUUGGAGUGAGAGGCUUCCCUGUGCUGAUGGGCCUGGCCUGUCUGGGGAAACCGGUCACUGUUGUUGGCUUCUAGCUUCCAAGAAGGGCAGGUGGGAGCCCAGUUUUGGUUGGGUGAUGUGGAACUGGAGUGUUAGUGACUCCAGAAUAACAGCCCCAUCUGUUUGUUUAACAUCGCCAACCUGGGCUUGGGUUAUAAUGGAGCUUCUUGUUCCAGCAUGACAGUUCCCCUGUCCUCCUCCAGUAAGAGUGUCUUUUAAAAAAAAUUACUCAUAGUCACUGGUCACGCCCUAAACUUGUGAGUGGGAAGGGUGGUGACAGAAGGUUACGGAGGUCUUUUAAGGUUUGUGUCUUCCUGCUGCCUGCUGUGGGAAGCUUCCUGGGGUGAGGUGGAGUCUGGCUGAUGCCUGAUGCAUGGGACUCCUUGCCUGUUUUCUGGUGUUUUCACACGGGUGCAGAUGACCUGGCAGGGAUACCCUUGGCCCAGCUUGUCUCCUCAAUGGGAAACGUCAGCACGGAGCUCUUCCUGCUGUGCGCCUGGCUGAAUGGCUUUGCACAGAGGUCGUGUGCCCAACUGGCAAGGCGGUGAGAUGGCCAGGGUGCUUUGGGCAGCAAUUCCGACUCGACCAGGGCCAGCCAGGCACACUCUGAGGUGACGAUCCCGAUGGACUCGUCACACGUCAUUUCUCCAGCGCCCCUGCAGGCAGGGUUUAUUAUGGUUUCGCCUGCCCUUUGACGACUUUGUAAUGAUUCUGACGGUCAUGGGCGAGCUCCAUCAUCUCCGCACCUCCCAUCGGGCUUUCACGGCUGUUUCCUUGUACGGGACAGAGGUGACCAGAAUGAGAGGUGCUGCGGGCUUCCCACCAGCAUAAUGGCAAAGGCUGGAUUUGGGGUCUCUUUUAUCCUGGAAUCAGUGAUGCGCUCUGAUGCUCCCUUGAGCCUAGAGAUGGGUGGAAUCAUGACUGAUUCUGACUAAUGACAGGCAGACAGGGCGAUUCUGUGUUUUCCUUUCUUUCUAAAAAUAGGUUUUGGCAUGGACUUAUGAUGCCACUUCUGAAAUGAAGCCGAGAAGUGGCCCCCACAGUCCCCAGCUCUCUUCUUUCCACGCCUGCUUUUCCUUGUGGCCGAGAGGACCAUGUGGCAGAGUCCCCGUCCCGCUAGGCUAAAGCAGUGUGAGCCACAAUACGCUUGGAAAACACAUGGUCAGCCAGGGAGGCUGCGGGGCGGUUUGGUGCUGCAUUGGCCCGUCCUGACUAGGGUGUCCUCUGUCUGCUCCUGACCUGGCUACUUCCGUCAAGACGUUGGUGGCAGAAUGAAAAUUUCUAAAAGUUUGGUAGCUUUGUGUUCAAAUCGAAUGUGUUAAAUGUCCUGGUUAGCCGGAAGGUGGAUAAGCGGAUGUGUUAUUCUUCGUAGCAUGGGAUGGUGGCUUUCGAAUAUGCCCCUGCUCUGUGCCAGCUUCGCUUUCUAACUAAUGUAACAGUGAGCAGAACAUGUUUGUUUAUACUCCCAGGGUAGGGCAGGAUUCUUGGUCCAAAAUGAUACUCUCUGCUAGUUCAAGUAUGCAAGCGAGCGAUUCCCUGGUUACUGGGCUCUGGUCGUAACUGGGUGAUGUUUCUGUUCUGUGUAGUCACAGGGUGAAAAAUGGUUGUACAGAUAAUCUUAGGCAUUAAUGAAACUCUUCUCGCUCUAAUACUGCUUAAUUUGCUUUUGGGAGCGCCUGCUGCUUUUUGACCCUUCUACCAGAAGAUUAGAAGGGAAGAAAAAAGAGGAAAUAAACUUUUUCUACAUGAUCAUAGCUCUGAUUUUUAAAAGAUACCUUUACAUGAUCGUACCUCUGAUUUUUAAAAGAGUGGUAGUGUCUCAUUUAUCAAUAAGAUUCAGGAAUGUAUGGAGGAGAACAACACACACAGAAAAUUGAACAUGAAUUUUAGAGUUUCCAUAUUCUUUGAUUCUAGGAAUUUAGGGUUCCUCUAUAUUUACCAAGAAAUUAUAGUCCUGUAUUAACUGAAAGCAUCCCUUGUAAUAACGUAAUGUUCCUUAUUUACAAAUGAUACAAUAGUUUUUCUGUUCUAACUAAUAAUAAAAAUGCGAGAACAGUCUCUUUGCUCAAAAGACUAAAUAGGUACACUUCAUUCCCCUGGAGCAGCGUCUCAUGAGGUAGCCCAUGCUGGUCUUGCAGGAUCUUGUCAUUCUCCUGCUCCAGCCUCCUGAGUGCUGGGGUUACAGGCACACGCUACCAUGCCUGGCAGAACCAGCUUCACAUUUGUUAGGCAUGUGACUUUUAAAAAAAAUAAGUAAAAGGCCAGUCUUCUCAGCCUGUGGUUUCAACUACGGAAGCAUAGCAGCUUUUCAGAAAAGUUCCCUCAAGACUGGGACUUCUGUUUUUGAGAGGUCCUAGUGCCCAGUGCAGAGGUUAUGGAGUGGUCAGUAUCAGUAUCCUAGGUCAAAGUCAUCUUAUUCCAUGUGAGAGGGAAGAAAAGAUUGGAUUCCACGCAAUGGAGAUGCAUGGAGAUUCUAUAUUUUCUAAAAAUUGUUUGCAUAGACAAUCCAUCUCCCUGGUAACCGCAGCCAUUACACCUCCAGCAUCCUUGAUCGUCUGUCUCUGUGUUAUCAUUUGGUCUGUUGACCAUAUACUCUGGAAUUUAUUCUUCAGUGGUAUCUUGUCUAAACUUGAGAAUUCUAAAUGCUAUGUAAAUUUAAUAACAAAUUCCACAAUAGAGUAAACAAAAGCUAGGGUAACAUCAAAACAACCCAAGGUGAUUUUUACACACAGAUAGACAAAGCCUGCGGGCAAGUUUGGAAACUCCACUGGGUAGUGAAAUAUGUCAAAUGCACUUCAAAGGCAGAAUCUCAGCAGCAUAAAGUUGAGUGAAGCAAAAAUAUAUCCCUCAAUUUAUAAGCUAUUUUUAAAAACAAAAUUUAAAAAUUUAUGUUUCAUUUUUAAAAAUUACAUGUGAAAAUAUAAACAAAUUUUCUAUGGAAAAUGAGAUAAUAUAGUAGCCAUUGUUUGUUUUCUGUUAUUUGGUUCUGAAUGCCCUGUAAUACUCUCAUUCUCUUGCAUGUUUUUAUACUAUUUUGUUAUGUUUGACACUAUUGUAUAUGAAGUUAUACUCAACUAUUUGAAAGAAAGAGACAUUGUGGUAGUUACUGUUAAUUACGGGUUGUCUUCUAGUGAAAUUCUAUGUUGCUUACAUUGUUCUGUUCUGAUCUGCUUUGUUAUGUCCUGUUUUGUCUUAAUCUCUUUAAAAUAAAAAAAUUUAUGGUUCAGGGAUGUAACGUUGGUGAAAGUGUAAGGAGGAGCACAUGGAAGUGAUCAACACAGAGUGUAAGCAAGUGCUUGCUUUGGGGAAGGGAGGAGAGGGCGCCCGCAGGGCCACGUCUGCAGAGUCCCCAGCCCAGGAUCGGCGGACGGAGGCCGGUUCUGUGCUGCGUAUUGUACAUAUAGCUCAGUAAGUGACAGAAAGUUCAGUACGAGUUGGUGACGGGAGAUGGAUCUCUCAAAUCCUAUUUCUUGCACAGGAUAUUGGAGGUUUUUGAGGUUGAGGGAACGGAGGGGGCUGCUCUACACAGCCCCAAUGAUGCCGUGUUUCUCUCCUUCCUCUCCCUGUUGGCCAUCAACGCUGUAUUACCAAGUCCUCUCGGCAGCUGGGCGCUUUCCUGGGGAGGUCACAUCAGGAGGCAGCCCUGCAAGUCUGCGUGGACCCAGAAAUUCUGAGAACCUUCCAGGAGUCUUUGGGCAACCUGGAAUUUCUAUUCCGUGUCCCCCACCGGAGUGGCAGCAGAGUGAGGGAGGGCUGGGAACCUGGGCUGACUGCUUCCCCCUCAUCACAGGUUCCUUCCGCUCUUGGAGCCUCCUUGGAGCUGUCUGGGAGGCGGGUUCGGUACCCACCGUGCAGCACUGUAGGAGACUUCCAAGAAAGCCACGGGGCGAACGCCGCUCGGUUUGUUUGAAAUGAUUUUGUCUAAGGGUCAGUUGCUCGGGUUAUUUCUGAACCAACUCCAUGUGCGCUUUGCUUUCCUUGAGAAACUCCCUUUCUCUCACCUCACGAGAGAUGGGGUGCUGCUUGCUUUUGGCAGGCACGUAGGCUCUAAAUUCUGCUGACUGCAGACAGUGCAGAGACUUUAAUGAUGAAAACUCUUAGCUUGACAGAAGCAAUUUAGGGAUAGCGUUGUUGCAUGAACACAGAGCCUCGGAAGGCUGCUCAGUCCCCACCUUACCCUUGAAUCAGGUGUCUGUCCCGUACCUUAUCACUGGGGAGUGACGCCAAGUCUGUCCCAUCGGUGAACCCUCGCCUGACUCAUUCGGUCCUCACUAACUUGUUAGGCUAGGUGCACAGCUGUAGUCCCAGCUACUCAGGCAGCUAAGGAAAGAGAUCUCUUGGUGGACAGCAGUGCUAUGGACUGAGAUGAGAAUGGCCAGGAGGUGGAGGGGCAGUUUUGAGGGAUAAAGUGAGGAGUGUGUUAAGGUUUGCUACAUUAAAAUAGGAGUUUGAGGCCAACUUGAGUAACAGUGUGAGUUUCCAUCCCAUCAGUCAACCAACAAACAAGCAAACAAACGUCACUGUCUACAUUGGAAACUUCAAUUCCAUAAACACCAAGUGCUGCUUUUCAAAAGGCAAUUUAAUUUGCAGGACAAGGAGGGGACUUUUUGAGAGAUAAAGCAAAGAGUUUUGCUAAGGAAGUAUAAUUUGGGGGUGGUUGUUUCUUCCUUUUUGGGCUGGAUGUUUUCUUAAAAAGAUGCUUUGAUAGUGAAAGUUAUGCAGUGACCAAAGAAAAUACACAGGCUGCCCUCCGAGGCCUGUACCCGGGCUCUGCCAGCCCUGGAUGGGGCUCCCUCCUGGCGUGGAUGGGGCUGAGCGGAGAAGGCCGAGCAGAGCAGGAAGGUCCCAGGUGAGCCCUGAGCUGUUCCUCACUGCAAGGACAGAGCAGGACGCAGGGCUCCGGCUGGCCAGACGGCACCAAGCAUCUCCAUUUGGUUUGGUGGGUGCUUUUGAAUUUAAAUUAUUUUUAUUCUCCAAUUGAAGACAUUUCUAUUUCUUUAUAGGACUUUAUCGACCAUAAUUAAGUCAAACAUUUUUCUCAUGGUCCAGGGGACUGAACCAUGUAUCAUGACAGAGGAGAGAAAAGCAGAAAGCCUCACGGUUCCUAAGAGCGGUCACUGGCCUGGAGGGCUGGCGCUCCACGGCGCUGUCCACUCAGCCUGGGAUCCCUCUGCUUUCCCCUCACUUGGGCCAACUGAGUCUCCUAGUGUUUCCAACACCCCUCCCCAGCCGGGUCACCCUUUUCUAGGUCUGAGGUUCUCAGUAUCUCAUUUAUUUUUUUUAAUCAAAUAGACUUAGUUUUUUCUAUGGCAAAUGAGACUCUAGCAGGUCUCUGGAAUUAUGCUUGUAGCUGGGUGUGGAAGCUCGUGCCUGUAGUCCCAGCUAGUGGGGAGGCUGAGGCAGGCAGUGAGUGGAGCGCCAUUUGGGACCAGACUGGGCAACACAUUGAAGCCCUAUUUCAAAAACAAAAACAAAAACAAAGGAAGAAAACGAAAGGAAGGUUCAUGCUUGUGUCUUAAGUAUGGACAGAGUAGAGACCAUGCUAUAUAUAGGACAUGUUUAAAACGCUUCACUUACAAACAAUUUGUCCAUUGCUUUAUUCCUAAAUGUGUGUGGUAUACGAGGAUUCUACCAAGAGCACAGAAUGAUUUUUCAGACCCAUGGGGGAACGUGGGAGGUCAUUAAGGGAUGGUGAGAAUCCUUUGGUCUUGGGCUGCUUAUAGAUCGGGUAGAAGGAAAAAACUCACAUUUGUGAAAAUGUGUGUCAAAUUGCACCAAGUGCCUUGUAGGCAGAGAAGAGAGGAGGGGCCAGGAGAGAUUAGCCAGGGUUUAGGCUCUGCCCAGGCACCAUCUGAGAAGGCUUCUUAGAAGACAUGGGGCUGGCACUGGGUCCGUAUUAUUAAUCCUGUUGCUAGAAUACAAUACCAGGAACUCACAAGUUAAAGGAGAAAAGGUUUUUAUUUGACUCACAGUUCAGGGGGUUCAGUCCAUGGUUGGGUACAGAAACAUCAUGGUGGAAGAACAUGGCGGGAGAAAGACGCUCACCUCACGGCAGCCAGGAAGCAGAGAGAGCAGGGAAGAACUUAGAGGGACACACACUCUUCCAGGCCACACCCUCAGGGGCCCAUCGGUUCCAGCCAGGCCCUGCCCCUACAGCACACUCAACCAUCAGCUCCUCAAUGGGUCAUGGUGGGUCCUGCACCCCUAUAAUCCAGUCACUCUCCAAAAGCCCCACCUCAGAGCACAGGAGACUUUCGCAGGACGUUCUGGAUCUAACCCAUACCAGAGUCUGGAGUCUGAAUUAGCAGAGAGGGCAAAGCGUAGGACGUCUUCAGGGACAAAGCUGACACACGGAGAUGAAAAGUUACAUCAGUCCAAGUCUGGGUGGGGCAGGGUGGCAGUGGGAAUGGGGAGGUUAAUUUGUUAGAUGGACCCCGCCACCCCUGUCUCAGAUCCUCUUAAUUAUGAAGUACCCAUUUUGUAGAUAUAAAGUCUCAGUCUGUUACUCAUGUUUUGUGCCUCAGUUUCUCUGUUUAUAAUCUACCAGCCAUAGUUUAAAUUAGCUAAUGAUGGAGCGGAUCCAAUGAUGCAGGAUGCUGUGGAGGCGUUGCUCAGGGCUUCUCACACACAAUUCUCCCCCCUUCCUGAAGUUCAGCUGGGUUCCAGCCCUGCCUCACUGCCGUGAAAUCCCCGCUGCCUCUUACGGGUAGCUCAGGGCUGGUGAUGGUUUCAUGGUCUUGCUCUCACUGGGAGUCAUUUUCUGGCUUAGGAGAAGGAGUCAUCUUACUCUGCAAAGAACACCAGUGCCACACUGGAGAGCUUUAAACACAGAUGUACCCUGACGCAUGAACGUAAUUUUCUCCGUGAUUCUGGUCACCAACUAAACUAGAUGAAAACCGAAUCAAAUUUCCCCAGCAAGGUUGAACCUAACCAUUGAACUUGAUUUGAUUCUUGGCCAAUUUGGUUUGCAACCCGAAUUGUGGAAAGCAUUAAGUUCGUGAACCGAGAGCAUACAGAACCCGAACCAAAAUGGAGCAGAAAUAUCAUCAGAUGACCAUUCAUUCAAGCUCUUGGUCAGCUGUCUGAGAGGUCGCAAGGGCUGAGAAGGAGAAUGAGAAAGCAAAGAUGGACUUCGGUGUGGACAGGAGCACAUUGUUGGGCAGUAAAGUUGUUGCUGGUGAUGGUGUCAGUCCUUGUCUCUCUGGGUGGAACCAAGAUGGACCACAUUUGGGACCUAGAAGAACACAUUUAAAAGCAUUUCAUCCAGGAAGGAUCUUCUCCAGGCACAGAAAAGUGAACUAGAAGUCAAUGAAAGACAUAAACUGAAAAACAUCAAAUGUGGAGAGCAAGCAAUGUACUUGUAAAUAACCUGGGUGUGAAAACGAAAGUCCUGUAAAAUAAAGGACUAAAGUAUUCUUAAUGGAAUGGAAAUCAAAAUGCAACAUAACAACAUUUCUGAGACAGCCUGAGGGGUGGUUACGUGAAUUUCCAAAAAUCUUGAGAGUAAGAAAAAAAUACAGUUUACCAUUGUUGAUCACCUUGUAUUAUGUUUUUACAUUAUCUAUUAUGUCCACCCUUUUGAUUUGACUGACUCUGUUCUGUUAUGUCACAUUUGGUUUUACUCUCUUCAAAAAAAGUAAUAAGAACCAUGGGAGCAAUAAAACCCAAAAUGUGUAAUAGUCAUUGUACAAAAGAGAGGAAAAAAAAGUGCUCUAAACUAUAUAACUGCAUGUAUAUUUAAGUGUAUAAGAUAGAAAAUGAUAUCACUGAGUUUUAUUGGAUCAUUGAACAAAACUGUUUGUAGUAUCAUUGUUGGAAUGUCCACUUUACAAGCUUUAAUUUUGUGACUUGAACAAUUAUUUCUAAGAUGACAAUAUGUAAUCCAUUAACUAGUGAUUUCCUACGUUUAUUUUUUUUCUGUAAAUCUGUAUAACUUGUACCCUUUCUCUGCUUUUUUUUUUCUCCUUAAAUAAAAUUUAAAAAAAAGAAAAAGAAAAAAAUGCAGUUUGAAAAUCAGGCGCAGCAAACCAUUUGAACCAACAUUUUAUAAAUGUUGAGGAGUAAACACUUCAGAGAGGUUUUCACUAUCACUAGCCAUUAAAAAGUUCAAAUCAAAUGCACAAUAAGACACCACUUUCCACACAGAGGCUAUGAAGAAAGAGACCAACAAAGGACAAAGGAGGCAAGCUUGCAGCAACAGAAAAGCCCAGUGACGAAUCGGCACCUGAGAGGUUUUCAGUCAUUUGGAGAUGCAAAUUAGAUCCAUCGUGAUCUGCCCCUGCACACCUGUAAGAACGCUAAAAUUAGAUCUCUCCGUCAGCCCGUCUGACAAGACCAGGGACCGGCAGAGACACACAGCAGCUAGAACUGUCCUGUGCUACGAGAGGACAGACAACGCGAGUGACGGUGGAGAACAUUUGCAUUGUCUUACGAAGUUAAACGUGCUUAUCAGGUGACUUAGGAAUUCCAGUCCUAGGUGUUUACCCACGAGAAACCAAGACAGAUGCUCACACAAAAACUUGUCCAUGAAUAUUUAUAGCAGCUCACUUGCGGUCCUGAUGCUCUAACCCCGCUGUCCUUCAACUGGCGAAUGGGUCAACAGAUACGCCACACAGCAGAAUAUCGCUCAGCGAUUAAAGAGAGUCAUGGCGCCACAUAAAUGACCUGCAGCCUCCGGUGUGCUCUCUGAGUGAAGGUGACUUGGGUGGCCUGCAGCUGCCGGGCUGAGGCUAAAAAUCCAUGCUGAGUUCACCCUGGGACUGGCUGGGUCACAGGGCAGUUGCCUUCAGCCUCAUGGGGCGCCUGUGGUUAGUGAGAGGGCUUGGAUUGGGACAGAAAGGGACCUGUCCAGCCUCAAGGGGGAUGUGCGUGAAGUCAUCCACGAAGCCCGGGACACUGAACCCCUCAGCCCUCGUGAGGCUUCUUUACCAGUGGAAACAGCCUCCUGAGCUGCUCAUGGAAGUAGAAAAACCCUAUCCUCCUUCGUAGAAGCAUCUUCCCCUCUGCCAUGCGAGUGGCUUCCCUGGCCCCAGUGGAAGUGGCCUUUCUGUGCUGAGAGGACGCACCCUGCAUCACCCCAGGAAACUGCACGAAGUAAGAAAAUGCUGCUUCUCUAGACGCAGGUCCAGUCUCUCUGCCUGUAACAAACCCAAGUCUUAGCAGGCCUACAAGUGAGGUACGGAGCACACAGUGCUCCAAAAGAGCGGCUUGCCCUUUCUCCUUUCCACGGCUGGAAAUCUGGGAAGCACAUGGGAAAAAUAGCCUAGCAGUUGGAGGAAGGUAAAGUUGGACCAGGCUGACUGAAUUAAAACAGGCUCCGUGAGUGGAGAUUCCACAUUGAAUCCCUACUGUGCAGAGAGUUAGAGUGGAUUCCAACGGUUGGAUUCGCUUGUUGGCUGAACUACGGAGCAAAAGGGAUACCAGGAUACCACAGUGAAUGGAUUAGAAAUGCAGACUUGUCUGCGUAUAGUGCAGGGAAGGGACUCAGGGUCUUAGGGAGUCUGGACUGGGAGGCAGGUUUAUCACCCACACUGAGAGGGUCCGGAAGACCUUUCGCCAACACUGGAAAAUCUGUGAGGGCAACUUCAGGUCCUGGAAAAGCCCUGUGAUCGCUUGUCUCUGUAGACCAGGCAUGACAAGGGUGCCACUGAACUGGAAGCUCAGACAUCCCACGGUCACUUUGGUCUCCUUAUGAGUAAACAAGCUAGAGAGGGAGUCACAGUGUUACCAGAAUGACUGCCCCAGACUGUCAAGGGAAAAUCGGGCUUUUACUCACUGUGGAGGGAGAGAUGAAGACACUUGGAGCUCAGGAGAUCCUUUGGGACGCCCCAUUAUUACCACGCCCUGUUAUUAAAGUCAGUGGGAAACCAUAGCAACCUAAUCCAGGCAGGAGAUGCCCAACGGUCCAGUACCUUCAGGACCGAACACUGGGGUCACCCCACCAGGGGAAGAACCGAGUCCUACUGAGGUGCUACAGUUAGGCAUACUUAUGAGCCUGUCUUUGUACCCAGACUAUGGUUUAAGGAAAUGUGUCUGGCUGUCAAGGUGCCAGGGAUGGAUUAUGUCAACUUUUAUGGUCAACUGGAGUAAGAACUGAUUAACUUGGGCCAGCAUGGUUCUGGGUGUGGCUGAAGGGACCCACUGAGGCAGGAGACCCUUUCUGGGGUGGGAGACAGCAGCCAGCAGGCUUGUAGCCUGAACGGAAUAACAGGAAGCAAAGAAGCAAGGUGCGCUUGGUUUCUGCAGAGGACCCCAGUGCUUGCCUUCACCUCCACCUCGACGUGGUCUCCGAGCUCCGGUGCAGAUGCUUGCUUCCCAGCACGGGCUCUUCCGCCUUCCACUGCAGAGGCUUUGGCCUGCUGACUCCGAUGUGCACGGGACGCUGAGUGAGCUCCAGGCUUUGACCGCACCCUCCGAUCUCCGGUUUACGGAAAAGGCUUUUGGGCUUUUCCACACCUGACUCCAUGGACAGCCGCUGGAAGCCGGCCCUGGGUUCCUCAUACAUUUGUGUCUCUGCAUUAGGUCUGUUUCUCAGAGUAGGCACUGGUGAUGCAGGGAGUAGUUGGGAAGAGGGGUGCAGUGGGAAAGUGGGGUCACAAGCACCAAAGGUGAGCUGGGUGUGGCUCCCAUAAUGGACCUCAGAGUCAGAGCCAUCUCUUUACUCUGGGGUUGCUUAGUGAGUGUGGUGUCCCUGGGGAAGCACAUGGGUGCCCUGUGACGAGCAGACGUGUUCUAAGUCAAGCGACGGAUGUCUAGUCUGAGUCACAGGAGCAAAACCAUGGCCGUCAGUCACACAGGACUUGGACCAGUUGGCGGACCAAGAAGUCUUUAAACGAAGGAGGGCUGGAUCUCACUGGGGACAGAUGUUGGUGUUUUUUAAAAAAUUUUAUUUAAAGAAAAACUAAACAAAACAGAAAAUAGGUAGAAAUAAUCAUACGUUCAGAGAAAAAAAUAAACAGUAAGAAAUCACUAGUUGAUGUUUACAUACUGUCCUUUUACAAGUAGUUGUUCAAGAUACAAAAGUGGAACAUGUAAAGUGGGAAUUCAAACAGCGAGACUGCAGACAGUUCUGUUCAACUAUCCAACAAAAACUUAGUAACAUGGUUGUCAGUCCUAUACACUUAAACAUACAUGCAGUUACCCAUAGCCUCAAUUAUGUUUAGAUUAAACAAACUAAAGCAGAUUAAAAUCAUUCUGAACAACGAAUAAUAGUAUUACUGGAUUUCACAUCAUGAUACUCCGGGAUCAGCACUGGGUACUGUAAUGUCUUUUUUUUUAAAAAAUUUAAUUUAAAGAAAGAUUAAACGAAA